rnacentral:lncRNA from 1 species
AUAAUCACCCAAAAAAAAACUAAUUUAAAAAUGAAGAUGUUGGGAGGUGGGGCGGCGUUUUUCUCCCAGGAGCUUGGCUGUUCCUUUUGCUCCUAAAAGCUGGAAGCCUCUGGGUGUAGGAAAACAGCAUCCAUUCCUUGAAAUAUGAAAAUAUCCAUAAAUAUUUUGUCUUCCAGAAUGCCUUCCCGAGGAGUUGGGCCUAGCAAUAUGGCAGGAAAUCCUGCAGAACGCUGCUGCUGCUGCUGCUGCUGAGCUCUGUUCCCAAGGAGGGCACGGUCCCUGCCCCGCUCUGCCUCCACCACUGCAGGCACUGAGCUUUCUCCACCCCACAAUUCCAACCCUGGAUUUUCCAAGAUGCUGCAGGAGGGAUUUGGGCUGCUGAGACCUUUGGGGAAAGCUGGAUGCUUUAAAGGCUUGGUCUAAACACAGCUGGAUGCUUGGAGAGGAAACUUGAGAGAAGUGGCAGGAGAAGUGGGGGAGCUGCUGGGAGGAGGAGCAGGGAGUUAUUUCUGAGGCUGAGCAUGUUUGCUGAUUGCUCUGGGUUUUUGGG